GACGAACGCUGGCGGCGUGCUUAACACAUGCAAGUCGAACGAUGAAGCCGGAGCUUGCUCUGGUGAAUUAGUGGCGAACGGGUGAGUAACACGUGAGUAACCUGCCCUUGACUCUGGGAUAACUGCGGGAAACUGUAGCUAAUACCGGAUACGACCCUCGGAGGCAUCUCCUGGGGGUGGAAAGAAUUUCGGUCAAGGAUGGACUCACGGCCUAUCAGCUAGUUGGUGAGGUAAAGGCUCACCAAGGCGACGACGGGUAGCCGGCCUGAGAGGGUGACCGGCCACACUGGGACUGAGACACGGCCCAGACUCCUACGGGAGGCAGCAGUGGGGAAUAUUGCACAAUGGGCGCAAGCCUGAUGCAGCAACACCGCGUGAGGGAUGACGGCCUUCGGGUUGUAAACCUCUUUUAGCAGGGAAGAAGCGAAAGUGACGGUACCUGCAGAAAAAGCACCGGCUAACUACGUGCCAGCCGCCGCUGUAA
rnacentral:rRNA from 1 species